rnacentral:rRNA from 1 species
CUGGCGGCGUGCUUAACACAUGCAAGUCGAACGAAGAGCGAUGGAAGCUUGCUUCUAUCAAUCUUAGUGGCGAACGGGUGAGUAACGCGUAAUCAACCUGCCCUUCAGAGGGGGACAACCAGUUCGAACCCGACUGCUAAUACCGCAUACGAUCUAAUCUCGGCAUCGAGGAUAGAUGAAAAGGUGGCCUCUACAUGUAGGCUAUCACUGAAGGAGGGGAUUGCGUCUGAUUAGCUAGUUGGAGGGGUAACGGCCCACCAAGGCGAUGAUCAGUAGCCGGUCUGAGAGGAUGAACGGCCACAUUGGGACUGAGACACGGCCCAGACUCCUACGGGAGGCAGCAGUGGGGAAUCUUCCGCAAUGGACGAAAGUCUGACGGAGCAACGCCGCGUGAGUGAUGACGGCCUUCGGGUUGUAAAGCUCUGUUAAUCGG